GGUCCCCCCGGGCGUCGAUGAAUGUGGGGUACCAUUCCUUGAUGAUGUGGUCAUGUUUGUAGUCGGCCUUAUUGUCCUUUAGAUGUUCCACGGUGUUCCGCUCGCUCUUCUCAUAGGCCUCCCGGGGCUUCCGGACAGACACCUUGCAUUCUCGGACCUUGUUGACGAUGAAUUCUUGGAUGAGAAACCUGAUAUCUUCCAUGAGGCAGUCAUCAUAAAGAAGUCUGAAUAUCUUGGUUGAGAGCUAGACUUUGGAAACAGAGAGACCCUGUAUAAUAACAGACUAAGAAGUAAGGAAGACAAGCCCAGCCAGUCCCACAACUAUUUCAUUAAUACCAGGAAAUCUACUCCAGUCCUGUCCUGUGGAAACUAAUGGGAGUGCCAGGAGGCCUAACCAUCUGAGGUGAAUUGAAAAGAAAAAGCAGCGUGCUGAUUGCAGUGACUGGUGCAUGGAUCUCGAUGGCUACUCUGUACUGUAGGCAGUGAUGACACCCUGUUGAGGAGAUUGGUAGGAGCCAUAGCAACACAGGAGGCACAAUUUUAGGGAUGGUUUACAUUCCUAGCUGGAGUUUCCACAAAGCCCAGGUGCUUGCAUAGAGCCUUACCCUUGCCUAUAAACAACUACAUGGUUUAGUGUCCCCGUAAAAUUUCCCUAGAAUGGGAAAUAAUGUCAGGGCAGCAAUACAGUUUGGGGCAGUAUUUAAGAUCUAGUGCUCAGCUUAACAUAAGUCAUCCUGAGACUGAGAAAAAAAUGACAGGCAAUAAUUUAGUUUCAGUACAGUAUUUUAGUUCCGAUAUUCACUAUAAGUCCUUCCCAGGAAUUGAAACAACAUUCAAGUGUUUAAAUUUAAUACUAAGACAUAACCCCUAACAUCACCAAAGAACAUCUGCAAAAACUGGAAGAGGUGGGUGUCUCCUCAAAUGUGCAGGCAUCAACAUAAGCACAUCAGAAUGGUGAAAACUCAGGUAGAUAUGAAAUUACCAAAAGGCAUCAAGGAGGCUCCAUCGAUGGAUCCAGAAUAAAUAAAGAUCUGUGAGAUGUCUGACAGAGCAUUCAGAAAAAUCUCUUCCUCUCUUUAUAUAAAUAAUGGCUGGGAAUUCAGCCAUUCCAAAUCUGGAGAACCCCUAAAGAAGUUUAGAAAAUCACAAAGAAAUAUGGAAAGUAAAUAAAAAUUAAAAAACAAUCAAUUAACAAAAUGAGAAACUUGAAAAAAAUAGAAACAA
ensembl:lncRNA novel transcript